GCUUGUGGAGUGUGAUGUGCCAAUUUUUUUAAAUAAAAGAGAGAAUGUAGGACACACACCAUGAAGAGAGUAUAAUAAAAGAGAGGUGUUUCUAAAACUAAUAAGUGAUAGAUUAAGUAUGAAACUCACACUCCCGGUAGUUUAGGUAUGAAUUUCAAAAAAAGGUUAGUUUAGUGUGAUUAGGGAUUGCACCGGGGUGGGUUGAAG
rnacentral:misc_RNA from 1 species